GACGAACGCUGGCGGCGUGCCUAAUACAUGCAAGUAGAACGCACAGUUUAUACCGUAGCUUGCUACACCAUAGACUGUGAGUUGCGAACGGGUGAGUAACGCGUAGGUAACCUGCCUGGUAGCGGGGGAUAACUAUUGGAAACGAUAGCUAAUACCGCAUCAUAUUAAUUAUUGCAUGAUAAUUAAUUGAAAGGUGCAAUUGCACCACUACCAGAUGGACCUGCGUUGUAUUAGCUAGUAGGUGAGGUAACGGCUCACCUAGGCGACGAUACAUAGCCGACCUGAGAGGGUGAUCGGCCACACUGGGACUGAGACACGGCCCAGACUCCUACGGGAGGCAGCAGUAGGGAAUCUUCGGCAAAGGACGAAAGUCUGACCGAGCAACGCCGCGUGAGUGAAGAAGGUUUUCGGAUCGUAAAGCUCUGUUGUAAGAGAAGAACGGGUGUGAGAGUGGAAAGUUCACACUGUGACGGUAUCUUAACAGAAAGGGACGGCUAACUACGUG
rnacentral:rRNA from 1 species